UACGUAGGUGGCAAGCGUUGUUCGGAAUUAUUGGGCGUAAAGGGCGCGUAGGCGGCUUUGUAAGUCAGUCGUGAAAGCCCGGGGCUCAACUCCGGAAUUGCCUUUAAGACUGCAUCGCUAGAAUUGUGGAGAGGUAAGUGGAAUUCCGAGUGUAGAGGUGAAAUUCGUAGAUAUUCGGAAGAACACCAGUGGCGAAGGCGACUUACUGGACACAUAUUGACGCUGAGGUGCGAAAGCGUGGGGAGCAAACCGG
rnacentral:rRNA from 1 species